rnacentral:lncRNA from 1 species
UUCAAUCCAUCUACUUUGCUCAGCGGCAAGCUUCUACUUCCCAUAAUUAAACAGACACUUGGCCAAACAGAUGAAAGGGGGAAGAUGGGUAAAGCUGGAGCGCCUGUGCAGCUGUGUGGGCGAUAUCGCCACUGGUGUUGGCAUCUUCAACACAGGGAAUCUGCCACCAUCCAUUCCAAGCAGCAGGUAAUGGAUUGAGCUCAGGACCUGAUCUGGCUAUGGAUGAGCUAGCCUGAAGGUUGUUAGGUUUGUUGUCAGCGCCAAGCCUCUACCCAACCUCAAUUCUUCCUUCAAAGACAAAAACAUCACAGCGGGGUGCUAAGAUCUCACUGUCAGGCUGGUUUAGGGACAUUUUGAUGUGAUAUUGGAGUCUUUAAUCCCACCAGCGAUGGAAAAUUUACAGCUCUACAUUUAAGAGCCAUUUUCAUUUGAUGGAAAAAAAAAAAAAAAAAUUAAAUGUUCUGAUUAAAAAAACAUUGUUGUCAGUUAUAAAUCUGCCAUGGUGAUUAAAUUGUAGAACUAAAGGGCUUUUUAGCCAAAAACAACAAAAAACAUGUAAACUGUUAUCUGUCUUUUUUUUUUGUAUUUUUCUCAUUUAAGUUCCAAAAGUUAGAAAGUUAAAUGGAAUAUAGUAAAGAUAAAACCUGCAGACCCCAAACAGGUCCAUGCAACUAAGACAGGGGUCUGCAACCUGCGGCUCCAGAGCCACAUGUGGCUCUUUUAUCUCUCCGUAGUGGCUCUCUGGCUGAAAAAAAUAAAAUAAUAGUAAAUUAAAAAAAAAAAAAAAAUGGAGAUUUGCUAUUAUUUUAGCAACAUACUAACGUUUUUGGCUAAUUUGUUUUCUAGUGGGGUUUUUUAGGCUAAGUUAGUUUACUGAGGAAUUCUAUGCUAAUUUAGAGUUUAGCUAAUUUUUAGUUAAAUGCUGAUGUUUUUAGCUAAUUUUUAUCUACUGAAUUUUUUUUUAUAAUUUUAAAUUUAGCUUCUAUUUUAGCAAAAUUCUAACAUUUUUGACUAAGUUGGUUUACUGAGGAAUUUGAGGCUAUUUUGGAGUUCAGCAAGGAGUUAAGC